rnacentral:rRNA from 1 species
GGGCCCUAUUUGAACCCAAGGGUUUCUUCCCUCUUGACAGAGGUUUACGAUCCGAAGACCUUCAUCCCUCACGAGGCGUCGCUGCGUCAGGCUUUCGCCCAUUGCGCAAUAUUCCCCACUGCUGCCUCCCGUAGG